GAUGAACGCUGGCGGCGUGCCUAAUACAUGCAAGUCGAGCGAACAGACGAGGAGCUUGCUCCUCUGACGUUAGCGGCGGACGGGUGAGUAACACGUGGAUAACCUACCUAUAAGACUGGGAUAACUUCGGGAAACCGGAGCUAAUACCGGAUAAUAUAUUGAACCGCAUGGUUCAAUAGUGAAAGACGGCUUUGCUGUUACUUAUAGAUGGAUUCGCGCCGCAUUAGCUAGUUGGUAAGGUAACGGCCUACCAAGGCAACGAUGCGUAGCCGACCUGAGAGGGUGAUCGGCCACACUGGAACUGAGACACGGUCCAGACUCCUACGGGAGGCAGCAGUAGGGAAUCUUCCGCAAUGGGCGAAAGCCUGACGGAGCAACGCCGCGUGAGUGAUGAAGGUCUUCGGAUCGUAAAACCCUGUUAUUAGGGAAGAACAAAUGUGUCAGUAAAUAUGCACGUCUUGACGGUACCUAAUCAGAAAGCCACGGCUAACUACGUG
rnacentral:rRNA from 1 species